rnacentral:rRNA from 1 species
UAAAAAGUAAAAAAAAAUCCAUGAAAGUUUAAAUAGCCGCAGUACGCUGACUGUGCUAAGGUAGCAUAAUAAUUUGGUUUUUAAUUAAAACCUUGAAUAAAUGAGAGGACGAUACUGACUCUAUCCUAAGGUCUUUAACAGAAAUUAAUAUUUGCUUCAAAAAGAGCAACUCUUUGGGGGGACGAUAAGACCCUGUGAAACUUAAUUUUAAUAAAGCUAAUCUAAUUUAGAACUUUAGAUAAUCUUUUUUUAAUUAAGCUGGGGCGGCAAUUAACUUACUCUAAAUUUAAAUUUAACAUUUUAAAUGAGCCUAUAGAUCUUUUAUUAAAACACCUAAAACAAGUUACUCCAGGGAUAACAGCACAAUUUUUCCAAACAGAUCUUAUGGAAGGAAAAGACUUGUGACCUCGAUGUUGAAUUGAAAUACCCUGUGAGAGCAAAAACUUACCUGGGGAGUCUGUUCGACUUUUAAUUUUUC